UGGGGAAUAUUGCACAAUGGGCGAAAGCCUGAUGCAGCAACGCCGCGUGAGUGAUGAAGGCCUUCGGGUUGUAAAGCUCUGUCUUUUGGGACGAUAAUGACGGUACCAAAGGAGGAAGCCACGGCUAACUACGUGCCAGCAGCCGCGGUAAUACGUAGGUGGCAAGCGUUGUCCGGAUUUACUGGGCGUAAAGGAUGCGUAGGCGGAUUUUUAAGUGAGAUGUGAAAACCCUAAGCUUAACUUGGGGACUGCAUUUCAUACUGGAAAUCUAGAGUGCGGGAGAGGAGAAUGGAAUUCCUAGUGUAGCGGUGAAAAUGCGUAGAGAUUAGGAAGAACACCAGUGGCGAAGGCGAUUCUCUGGACCAUAACUGACGCUGAGGCAUGAAAGCGUGGGUAGCAAACAGGAUUAGAUACCCUGGUAGUCCACGCCGUAAACGAUGAGUACUAGGUGUAGGAGGUAUCGACCCCUUCUGUGCCGCAGUUAACACAAUAAGUACUCCGCCUGGGAAGUACGAUCGCAAGAUUAAAAACUCAAAAGGAAUUGACGGGGGUCAAUAGCUGUUUUUCCU
rnacentral:rRNA from 1 species